GACGAACGCUGGCGGCGCGCCUAACACAUGCAAGUCGAACGAGCGAGCGAGAGCUUGCUUUCUCGAGCGAGUGGCGAACGGGUGAGUAACGCGUGAGGAACCUGCCUCAAAGAGGGGGACAACAGUUGGAAACGACUGCUAAUACCGCAUAAGCCCACGGCUCGGCAUCGAGCAGGGGGAAAAGGAGCAAUCCGCUUUGAGAUGGCCUCGCGUCCGAUUAGCUAGUUGGUGGGGUAACGGCCCACCAAGGCGACGAUCGGUAGCCGGACUGAGAGGUUGAACGGCCACAUUGGGACUGAGACACGGCCCAGACUCCUACGGGAGGCAGCAGUGGGGAAUAUUGCACAAUGGGGGAAACCCUGAUGCAGCGACGCCGCGUGGAGGAAGAAGGUCUUCGGAUUGUAAACUCCUGUUGUUGGGGAAGAUAAUGACGGUACCCAACAAGGAAGAGACGGCUAACUACGUG
rnacentral:rRNA from 1 species